CGCUUUGUGCAGUGGCCGUAUCAUAGCCAAUGAGGUUUAUCCAAGGCACGAUUAUUGGUAAUUGAAAACUUUUCCCAAUACCCUGCCAUAACAAAAUAGAGUCUGCAUUGGCAAUUUUUGACAGUCUCCACAGAAA